AGUUGGUGGCUCAGUGGUAGAGUGCGUGCCUUGCAUGUAUGAUAUCAUGGGUUCAAUCCCCAGCUUCUC